rnacentral:rRNA from 1 species
CAAUAGCGUAUAUUAAAGUUGUUGCGGUUAAAAAGCUCGUAGUUGGAUUUCUGCCGAGGACGACCGGUCCGCCCUCCGGGUGAGUAUCUGGCUCGGCCUGGGCAUCUUCUUGGAGAACGUAGCUGCACUUGGCUGUGUGGUGCGGUAUUCAGGACUUUUACUUUGAGGAAAUUAGAGUGUUUCAAGCAGGCACACGCCUUGAAUACAUUAGCAUGGAAUAAUAAGAUAGGACCUCGGUUCUAUUUUGUUGGUUUCUAGAUCUGAGGUAAUGAUUAAUAGGGAUAGUUGGGGGCAUUCGUAUUUAACUGUCAGAGGUGAAAUUCUUGGAUUUGUUAAAGACGGACUACUGCGAAGGCAUUUGCCAAGGAUGUUUUCAUUGA